GAUGAACGCUGGCGGCGUGCCUAAUACAUGCAAGUCGAGCGAACGGACGAGAAGCUUGCUUUUCUGAUGUUAGCGGCGGACGGGUGAGUAACACGUGGAUAACCUACCUAUAAGACUGGGAUAACUUCGGGAAACCGGAGCUAAUACCGGAUAAUAUUUUGAACCGCAUGGUUCAAAAGUGAAAGACGGUCUUGCUGUCACUUAUAGAUGGAUCCGCGCUGCAUUAGCUAGUUGGUAAGGUAACGGCUUACCAAGGCAACGAUGCAUAGCCGACCUGAGAGGGUGAUCGCCCGCACUGGAACUGAGACACGGUCAAGACUCCUACGGGAGGCAGCAGUAGGGAAUCUUCCGCAAUGGGCGAAAGCAUGACGGAGCAACGCCGCGUGAGUGAUGAAGGUCUUCGGAUCGUAAAACUCUGUUAUUAGGGAAGAACAUAUGUGUAAGUAACUGUGCACAUCUUGACGGUACCUAAUCAGAAAGCCACGGCUAACUACGUG
rnacentral:rRNA from 1 species